CAAUGUGAUUGGGUAUUCUGUUUCUGGUGCUAUUACAUUCAUCUGUUGAAUCGUGCGACGAAAGCCUCUUCAUAAGCUUCUUAAAACGAGGUCUCAAUCUGAAAACCAAAUUCUAUAUGCUCUCUCACAAUGGCAAUGUAAAACCUGAUAAAGAG